UACGCGGGCGGUUUGUUAAGCGAGAUGUGAAAGCCCCGGGCUCAACCUGGGAACUGCAUUUCGAACUGGCAAACUAGAGUGUGAUAGAGGGUGGUAGAAUUUCAGGUGUAGCGGUGAAAUGCGUAUAGAUCUGAAGGAAUACCGAUGGCGAAGGCAGCCACCUGGGUCAACACUGACGCUCAUGUACGAAAGCGUGGGGAGCAAACGGGAUUAGAUACCCCGGUAGUCCACGCCGUAAACGAUGUCUACUAUAAGCUCGGAACCCCGGUUCUGUUUUUCAAAGCUAACGCAUUAAGUAGACCGCCUGGGGAGUACGGCCGCAAGGUUAAAACUCAAAUGAAUUGACGGGGGCCCGCACAAGCGGUGGAGCAUGUGGUUUAAUUCGAUGCAACGCGAAGAACCUUACCUACACUUGACAUACAGAGAACUUUCUAGAGAUAGAUUGGUGCCUUCGGGAACUCUGAUACAGGUGCUGCAUGGCUGUCGUCAGCUCGUGUUGUGAGAUGUUGGGGUUAAGUCCCGCAACGAGCGCAACCCCUAUCCUUAGUUGCUAGCAGGUAAUGCUGAGAACUCUAAAGGAGACUGCCGGUGAUAAACCGGA
rnacentral:rRNA from 1 species